GAUGAACGCUGGCGGCGUGCCUAAUACAUGCAAGUCGAGCGAACAGACGAGGAGCUUUCUCCUCUACCGUUAGCGGCUGACGGGUGAGUAACACGUGGAUAACCUACCUCUAAGACUGGGAUAACUUCGUGAAACCGGAGCUACUACUAGCUCAUAUAUUCAACCGCAUGGUUCAAUAGUGAAUGACGGCUUUGCUGUCACUAUUAGAUGAUUUCGCGCUGCAUUAGCUAGUUGGUAAGGUAACGGCUUACCAAGGCGACGAUGCGUAGCGGACCUGAGAGGAUGAUCAGACACACUGGAACUGAGACACGGUCCAGACUCCUACGGGAGGCAGCAGUGGGGAAUAUUGGACAAUGGGCGCAAGCCUGAUAAAGCCAUACCGCGUGAGUGAAGAAGGCCUUCGGGUUGUAAAGCCCUUUUGUUGGGAAAGAAAAGCAGCAGGUUAAUACCCCGCUGUUCUGACGGUACCCAAAGAAUAAGCAACGGCUAACUUCGUG
rnacentral:rRNA from 1 species